GAUGAACGCUGGCGGCGUGCCUAAUACAUGCAAGUCGAGCGAACAGACGAGGAGCUUGCUCCUCUGACGUUAGCGGCGGACGGGUGAGUAACACGUGGAUAACCUACCUAUAAGACUGGGAUAACUUCGGGAAACCGGAGCUAAUACCGGAUAAUAUAUUGAACCGCAUGGUUCAAUAGUGAAAGACGGUUUUGCUGUCACUUAUAGAUGGAUCCGCGCCGCAUUAGCUAGUUGGUAAGGUAACGGCCUACCAAGGCAACGAUGCGUAGCCGACCUGAGAGGGUGAUCGGCCACACGGGAACUGAGACACGGUCCAGACUCCUACGGGAGGCAGCAGUAGGGAAUCUUCCGCAAUGGGCGAAAGCAUGACGGAGCAACGCCGCGUGAGUGAUGAAGGUCUUCGGAUCGUAAAACUCUGUUAUUAGGGAAGAACAAAUGUGUAAGUAACUAUGCACGUCUUGACGGUACCUAAUCAGAAAGCCACGGCUAACUACGUG
rnacentral:rRNA from 1 species